CGAUUUCAUAAAUUCUCACUUUUGAACGGCCGGUGGAAGAUUCUAGAAAAAAAUCGAUUUUUUUUGUGGUUUUUCACAAGUUGAUGGAUGAUCGAUAUGCGUCAACUGCGUAGUUCUGUGCGUAAAGGCCGUGAACCGAUUGUUCCGAACGUAACACACGCGCCGUCACCGGGAAAAGACGAACCGGACGCGCCGACGAGGAGGUUGAGGAGGAGAGGUACAGGG
rnacentral:misc_RNA from 1 species